UACGUAGGGUGCAAGCGUUAAUCGGAAUUACUGGGCGUAAAGCGUGCGCAGGCGGUGAUGUAAGACAGUUGUGAAAUCCCCGGGCUCAACCUGGGAACUGCAUCUGUGACUGCAUCGCUGGAGUGCGGCAGAGGGGGAUGGAAUUCCGCGUGUAGCAGUGAAAUGCGUAGAUAUGCGGAGGAACACCGAUGGCGAAGGCAAUCCCCUGGGCCUGCACUGACGCUCAUGCACGAAAUCGUGGGGAGCAAACAG
rnacentral:rRNA from 1 species